UGCGUAGGCGGAAUAUUAAGUCAGUGGUGAAAUCCUGCGGCCCAACCGUAGAACUGCCAUUGAUACUGAUAUUCUUGAAUGUAGUUGAGGUAGGCGGAAUGUGUAAUGUAGCGGUGAAAUGCUUAGAUAUUACACAGAACACCGAUUGCGAAGGCAGCUUACUAAACUAUGAUUGACGCUGAUGCACGAAAGCGUGGGGAGCGAACAGGAUUAGAUACCCUGGUAGUCC
rnacentral:rRNA from 1 species